UACGUAGGGGUGCAAAGCGUUGUCCCGGAAUUAUUGGGCGUAAAGAGCUCGUAGGCGGUCUGUCGCGUCUGCUGUGAAAAUCCAGGGCUCAACCCUGGACCUGCAGUGGGUACGGGCAGACUAGAGUGCGGUAGGGGAGACUGGAAUUCCUGGUGUAGCGGUGGAAUGCGCAGAUAUCAGGAGGAACACCGGUGGCGAAGGCGGCAUCCUGGACCGGUAUUGACGCGUGAGGCGCGGAAAGCCAGGGGAGCAAACGGG
rnacentral:rRNA from 1 species